GUGGUCGUUUGGCAUCUUGCUGUGGGAGAUAGCAACAUACGGAUCUACUCCAUAUCCUGGUAUUGAGAGAAAGUCACUGGCCCAAAGACUGCAGGAUGGAUACCGCAUGCCCAAGCCAGACAACUGCACCGAUGAAAUUUAUAAUCUGAUGUUGAAAUGCUGGCAGGAAGUUGCAAGUAAGCGUCCAACAUUCAAAGUACUCUACGACUCUCUCGAAAAAAUGAACU